rnacentral:rRNA from 1 species
GACGAACGCUGGCGGCGUGCCUAAUACAUGCAAGUAGAACGCUGAAGGAGGAGCUUGCUUCUCUGGAUGAGUUGCGAACGGGUGAGUAACGCGUAGGUAACCUGCCUGGUAGCGGGGGAUAACUAUUGGAAACGAUAGCUAAUACCGCAUAAGAGUAGAUGUUGCAUGACAUUUACUUAAAAGGUGCAAUUGCAUCACUACCAGAUAGACCUGCGUUGUAUUAGCUAGUUGGUGAGGUAACGGCUCACCAAGGCAACGAUUCAUAGCCGACCUGAGAGGGUGAUCGGCCACACUGGGACUGAGACACGGCCCAGACUCCUACGGGAGGCAGCAGUAGGGAAUCUUCGGCAAUGGACGGAAGUCUGACCGAGCAACGCCGCGUGAGUGAAGAAGGUUUUCGGAUCGUAAAGCUCUGUUGUAAGAGAAGAACGAGUGUGAGAGUGGAAAGUUCACACUGUGACGGUAUCUUACCAGAAAGGGACGGCUAACUACGUG